CGCCCGUCACACCAUGGGAGCUGGUAAUACCCAAAGUCGGUUUGCUAACCUCGGAGGCGACCGCCUAAGGUAGGACUGGUGACUGGGGUGAAGUCGUAACAAGGUAUCCCUACGAGAACGUGGGGAUGGAUCACCUCCUUUCUACGGAGUACAACCUACGUUAUGGAAAAAAAUAUUUGUAUCCAGUUUUGAGAGAUUUAUCUCUCGGUUCUUUGAAAACUGAAUAUCGACAUUGAUAUAUUAAUUAAUAUUUCAAAGUUUAGAUCAACCAUAGAAUAUUUAUAUUUUAUAAAGACAAACAAUAGGUCAUACAAUUAACAAAACUAUUAAACAAGCAAGAGUUUUUGGUGGAUGCCUUGGGUCUGGAAGUCGAUGAAGGACGUGAUUACCUGCGAUAAGCCUCGGUUAGCUGGAAAUAAGCUGUUAUCCGGGGAUUUCCGAAUGGGGAAACCUAAUUGAGCUAAUCCUCAAUUAUCAUAUCGAUGAAUUCAUAGUCGAAUGAAGAGACACGCUGUGAAUUGAAACAUCUCAGUAGCAGCAGGAAGAGAAAAUAAAGAAUGAUUCCCUAAGUAGUGGCGAGCGAACGGGGAAGAGCCCAAACCAACACAUGUUGUUGGGGUUGUAGGACUGCGACAUGGAUUAAUGAAUUUGUACAUAGCAGAAUAAGUUGGAACGCUUAAACAUAGAGGGUGAAAUUCCCGUAAGCGAAAUGUAUAAAUCUCCUAGCAGUAUCCUGAGUAGGGCGGGGCACGUGAAACCCUGUCUGAAUUUGCCGGGACCACCCGGUAAGGCUAAAUACUAACCAGACACCGAUAGUGAACUA
rnacentral:sRNA from 2 species